UUUGUUUCCUGUUGAACCUCGUAUCUUUGGUAGUAUUUGUUUUGUGCGAGAUGUUCAUCCAUAGGUUACUAAAUUGAAUCUUAAGUAUCUUAGGUGUCUCUUCCUUGGAUAUUCUCGACUUCAAAAAGGUGUCAAGUCCUUAUUCAGGUCCUCAGAAUUCUCCUGCACCUGCACCGGCUCAACUCCUUCGCCCACCUGUUGUUCAUUUUUAUUCUAGGAGAUUGAAGACUCUUGACUCAGAUUCUCCACCAGCUUCUUCUUUAGAAGAUCCAGUUCCAUCCACUGCUUCUCAGUCUGACUUAGACCUUCCCAUUGCACUUUGCAAAGGUAAACGUCAAUGUACUUAUCCCAUCUCUUCCUUUGUAUGUUAUGAUUACUUGUCUUCUUCAUCUCGUUGUUUUAUCAGUUCUCUAGGUACUUCUAUUCCUAAAACUGUUACUGAAGUAUUGUCUCAUCUUGGUUGGCGUGUUGCAAUGGAAGAGAAAAUGGUGGCUUUAGAUACUAAUGGUACUUGGGAAUUGAUGCAUUUGCCUCUGGAUAAGAAAGCUAUUGGAUGUGUUUUUACAGUCAAAGUGAAUCAUAAUGGUACUGUGGCUCGUCUCCUUGUUGGUAAAGGAUAUGCUCAGACUUAUGGAACUGAUUACUUCGACACUUUCUCUCCUGUUGCUAAACUAGCUUCUGUUCGCUUGUUUGUUUCCUUGGUAGAUAGAUAUAAUUGGCCUUCACAUCAGUUAGAUAUCAAAAAUACUUUCCUUUAUGAUGAUCUCCGGAAGGAAGUUUAUAUGAAGUAACCACCAAGUUUUGUUGCUCAGGGGGAGUUGGGCAAAGUUUGCAGGCUCCGAAAAUCCCUUUAUGGCCUGAAACAGAGUCUUCGAGCUUGAUUUGGCAGAUUCAGCAGUUUAGUAUAAAGAAGAGCAAGUCCGAUCAUUCGGUGUUUUAUAGACAU
rnacentral:misc_RNA from 1 species